rnacentral:rRNA from 1 species
CCCAACUUGAAAAUCUCCCUUUGGAGAAUUGUAGUCUAGAGAAGCGCCCUCUGCGGCGGCCGGAGCCUAAGUCCGUUGGAAAACGGCGUCAGAGAGGGUGAGAACCCCGUCGGCUCUAGGCUUAGCUGCUCCACGAGGUGCUUUCCACGAGUCGGGUUGUUUGGGAAUGCAGCCCAAAAUGGGAGGUACAUCCCUUCUAAGGCUAAAUACUGGCGAGAGACCGAUAGCGAACAAGUACCGUGAGGGAAAGAUGAAAAGAACUUUGAAAAGAGAGUUAAAAAGUGCUUGAAAUUGUUGAGAGGGAAGCGUUUGGAGGUUAUAGGUGCGCCUAGGCUUAUACGGUUCUAACGAGCCGUUGUAUGUGCUAGGUGCUGGUCAACAUGGGUUAGCUUGGCGGGAUAACAGCGGGGGUUGAUACCCCGUCUAUGCCGCCGGGUUGAUCAAGGUGUAAAUGGCGCUCUGUCCUUCGGGAACUGC